rnacentral:sRNA from 1 species
AUGUUGACUGUGACCCAGGGCAGGUGUUAGCUAUCACCCAGGGCAGAUGUUGGCUAUGAAAGAGACUUGCUAAUGGACGCUCAAUCAAUCCUGACCUGGGUGUUGGAAACCUGUCCCUCCUGCUGCUGACACUCCCCAUGUGCGUCCUUUCAGAAGCAGGGAAGGCUGUGGAAGCUGUGGCCAUGUCAUAACCCUGUGACCUACGUCAGCCAGCUAGACCCUGCCUCCCAGAGUCACACCACUAGCCAAGGAGAACACAGGCCUGAGAUGGGAGCUUAUCACGAUGGUCUGGAUUCAAGCUGUAAAAUACCAUUCCUCCUGAAGCUGCAGAGACCGCUCAUUGCUUCUCUGUGGAGCUGUCAGGACUCUAUGGAAAGCGCUCACUGUAUGUUGUUGACAUGGACGCAGAUGUGGGGACUUUGUCUGCAGAGCCAUGCAAAAUACAAGAGUACAGAAUGAACUACGUGAGAGACUUCCCAGUCCUGGAAAAGCAGAGGCAGCAGCUUGUCAGAAAGAUAAGAAGGCAGAUUCCGGAGUUCAAGGUCGGCCUGGUCCAGAGCAAGAAACAGACGUGAAGCAGAAGAGAGCUGAAGACCAAGGGCUUCGAAGUCAGGGGAUCAGCUGGAAGAUGGACUCUGUCCUUCACUUGUCAUUGGUUCCCUGAAGAAUAAA